UGGGAACUGCAUUCGAAACUGGCAGGCUUGAGUCUUGUAGAGGGGGGUAGAAUUCCAGGUGUAGCGGUGAAAUGCGUAGAGAUCUGGAGGAAUACCGGUGGCGAAGGCGGCCCCCUGGACAAAGACUGACGCUCAGGUGCGAAAGCGUGGGGAGCAAACAGGAUUAGAUACCCUGGUAGUCCACGCCGUAAACGAUGUCUACUUGGAGGUUGUGCCCUUGAGGCGUGGCUUCCGGAG
rnacentral:rRNA from 1 species